rnacentral:tRNA from 1 species
GGAGAGGUGGCAGAGCCUGGUUUAUUGCAACGGUCUUGAAAACCGUCGUACCGCGAGGUACCGGGGGUUCGAAUCCCUCCCUCUCCG